AACGAACGCUGGCGGCAUGCCUAACACAUGCAAGUCGAACGAGACCUUCGGGUCUAGUGGCGCACGGGUGCGUAACGCGUGGGAACCUGCCCUUAGGUUCGGAAUAACUCCCCGAAAGGGGUGCUAAUACCGGAUAAUGUCUUCUGACCAAAGAUUUAUCGCCUUUGGAUGGGCCCGCGUUGGAUUAGCUCGUUGGUAGGGUAAAAGCCUACCAAGGCGACGAUCCAUAGCUGGUCUGAGUGGAUGACCAGCCACACUGGGACUGAGACACGGCCCAGACUCCUACGGGAGGGAGCAGUGGGGAAUAUUGGACAAUGGGCGAAGGCCUGAUCCAGCAAUGAGGCGUGAGUGAUGAAGGCCUUAGGGUUGUAAAGCUCUUUUAACCGGGAUGAUAAUGACAGUACCGGGAGAAUAAGCCCCGGCUAACUCCGUG
rnacentral:rRNA from 1 species